rnacentral:rRNA from 1 species
UAGUAUAAAUAGUUAACUUUGAAACUGCGAAUGGCUCAUUAUAUCAGUUAUAGUUUAUUUGAUGAAGAAUACUAAUUGGAUAACCGUAGUAAUUCUAGAGCUAAUACAUGUAUAAAGUCUUGUAGACUGCAUUUAUUAGAAUGAAAACCAUAGGUUUCGGCCUAUUCGUGAGUAAUAAUAACUAAUCAUAUCGUAUGCUUAUGUAACGAUGUGUCUUUCAAGUUUCUGCCCUAUCAGCUUUCGAUGGUAGUGUAUUGGACUACCAUGGCAGUAACGG